rfam:Gossypium hirsutum cultivar TM-1 unplaced genomic scaffold scaffold290.1, whole genome shotgun sequence
GCUAAAACUCAAUUGCUUAAGUUAUAUUCAAUCCUGAGUGGGGGCUUUAAGGUGAUGGAACGCGGGCUUGGCUUUCCUGGGUCGGAAUCUCUGGUGGUUUGACUCUGGCUUGCCCGUUCCAAGUUGAGAGUUGAGCCAAGGGGGUUGAGUGUAAACUCUGAGCCUCGUGGUUCCUAAAGUAGAGGGUACUUGGUGAGGCUGGUUUCACAGAGCAGCGAAAACCUCUCUUUCUUGACAGUGGAAGGAUAACAAGCUGGAUCUACUCCGAUCCAAACAUGGCUCAGCGAGCUAACCCUAACUGGACCAUCAUCUUU